GUUCUUUUUUUCAGAGCUGGGGACCGAACCCAGGGCCUUGCGUUUCCUAGGCUUUCGCCCAAUUCUCGGUACUAUGUCAGUGCUGGCGCCGACAAAUGGAGGUCCCACCGAGAUCAGAGAAGAAAGGGGGUACCACCUACGGGACGUCCCUGGAGCCCGGCCGGCAUAGGAGAAGGGACGGAUUGGAGAGGAAAACCAGAAGUGACUUCAAGUACAUCUCUGACACUGAUGAGACCUUGGGUGAUGUUCUCUGACAUCAUCAACUGUGCUGACAAACCGUGAGCUGUGUUGUUUUUGUGCCAGUUUUCCAUAGCCGCCUCUUCCAGCAUCGUAGUCUGUCCCAUGCGCGACUUUCCGCCGGCAAGAAGCACGCGAGACAUAGAAAUUCUUGCUAUGAGUGAUACUUUAUUCCUAUCUCAUGGAGAAGCCCCGCGCGCCAGCUAGGCGCGCCUAUUUAUCCCUCGGGCAUGCAUCCAUGCCUGAUUGGUUGCUUACUCAUGAUCUCAUCAGGCACGCCCCGGAAUGGGCAAAGACCUGGCAGGAAGGCACUCUUGCACAUGCGCAGUUAACUUCCUGAUAGGGGGGCCAGCUGGCGCAGCGAAGGCUGGCGCCAUCUUGACUGACUUGGCCUUCCACGUGGGGCGCAGUGGAAGCCAGCGCCAUCUAACGGUCGCGCAUGUUAUUGCGGCCCUCUACAUCUCACCCUUAUAAUUAUAAUUUUAUAGCAGAAAUGAUCACCCUAUCGCGUGCAAUGAGGAAACCUCAGCGAUGUGCAAGGGCUGAUCAAAGGAACACUGAGUCUCUCUCAAUCCCAGUGCAAUGGAUCCACAGAUCCAUGGGGUGCAGGAGCAGAGAACUCAGAUACAGAGAGUAUCCCUCUCCUCCCAGUGCAAUGGACCCACAGGUCCAUGGGGUGCAGGAGCAGGGAACUCAAAUACAGAGUAAAUCCUGAACAAGAUAACCAAAUUUCAGGUAAGGCCCUUUGUUCUAAUGGCUGUAAGUGUUUGAGUGAUAACGGCCUUGUCAUGUUACUGUUGAGAUCUGAGUUUGUAAACCAACCAUAGUAUGAACACUGAUCCACAGCAUAGGGCUGCAUCAGACAGAGCCACUCCCGAUAAGUAGUGGGCACCUCAUAUGGUCCUCCUCAGCUGUUGCCACCAAGGGCCGUGGUCAAGCCACUCCUAUAAUGAAAUUUAGAAUUUCCAAUUGUUAGUAACUACUCCAGAAAGUUCACCCACUGUACUUGUCUAACAAUAGAUUGGGGGAGGAUAACUCCAGACACUGCAGACACAAUGUCUGCAGCAGUAAUGGCUGCUACAAUAGCAGCGAAAGUGUCAAGGUCUUUUCCAGGACAGUUCAGGAUCAGUCAUUUUUCUCUGGAACAACCAGCAGACAAUGGAACCAUUUCUGAGAUCUGUAUGACCAGGACAGAGUUCUCCAGUCAUUGUAGCUUUACGCAGGUAGCUUUCUGUGAAGCUACAGUCUGUAAAAUGACAACACCAGUUACCAGUUAAGGCAGCAAGAGUCACCAGGGAAAUGAAAGGACAGGGGUAACAGCUAGAGUCCAGUCUUCUCCAGGAAACAGCAGUGUACAGAGUCUGAGUGUAGGCCACAAUGGGACGGGAACACACGCAGGCAGCGGUAACACUGACUGCAGCAAUGGCAAAAUCUCUGUGAUGACAAAGGAUGAAGGGGAAUCUUCUAUCUUCCUCUCAGGGCAGAGGGAUGACUCCAGGGACCCGAACCAGGAGAGCUGAAUCUUCAUGCUCCCAGGAUCAGCAUGUCUCACCAGACACUCAGGCAGCUGGCACAUUCCUGCAGCAUCCUGUAGAAAAAACACAAACAUUCCCUCUUCCCCAUAUAAAAUAUCUGGACAGGAACAUGUCAAUAAGUGGAUCUCUCUAUUUCACCUAGGCAGAAGUAUGCCUAGUUGUAGGGUGCCAUAAACUUUGGCAUCCAAAUUUUUAAAAUUGAAAUAUUUUAAAAUUGAAAUAAAAGGAGCAUUAUUUAGCAUACAGGGAUAACUCCCCCUUUUUAUUUAUAAAGAUAUAGUAAAGAUAUUAUUUAUUAAGGUAAGUCCUCGAGGAUUAAGUUGAGGACACUGAGCACUUGUAUUUAUAAAUUAACUUGUAUACCAAAUUAUUGUCUCUAGCAUAAUUGUAUUGGAUAUAUAAAGAAUGAGAUUUUUUGACUAACUGUUCUUAUGUAAGGCCUAUAAUCUGUCUGGAAUCUUGUCCUCCCUUGUUAAGGAGCCCAGAAAAUCCAGUUUGAGUUUUUAAAUGUCCUAUAAAGGAACAGUAUAUAGUGCUCUUAACCACUAAGCCAUUUUUCUAGCACCUCACAAACUUUAUUUACCUAAACAUAAGCAUUAAUUAGAAAUGUCAAAUCUUGUAAAUAUUGUCCAGAUUUAGUCUUACUAGAAAUCUCGGAGCUGGCAAGGUGAGGCUGGGAGUUGAAAGUAAACAAAUGGAGUCUUCCUCUUUUCGUGAGGGUGUGUUAUCAACUCUAUUACCAUUUUUAAAGAGCAGGGUCUAUGGUUUUGUUUAGUUGUCUGAGCCAGAGCACUGAAAGGACAAUAAGUUGUCAGACAAUUCACAUUGAAAUCGUCACUCACUGAUUUCAAGUAGAAAACCUGUCUCUAAUAAAGCAUUAAGUAAUUGAAAUCAAUUGUAAACCACAAGCCACACAUUGGCUAUCAGUAUAUGAAUAGAAAGCUUGAUUUAAAAACAGUGGCUACAGGACGUAAUCUAAUAAUCUGUGCUGAAGCAACAGAAACUCAAGAGAAUAAACAAGUGAUCCAAUCAUACAUGUAUCCUUUUCAUUAGAUGAACCACCUAUAAAUACAGUAAGCGCAUUUCCUAUGGGUUGUACGUACAAAUAUACAGGAAAUACAGAAACAUGUAAAGAAUAAAAUUAUCAAUUUUGUCUGAAAAAUUUGUAUAUGUGAUAGGCCAAAUAUCAGUAUUUAGUAGUAACCAAUUAAUUGUUGUUUGGAAUAAGAUAUGUUUUACCAGGUUUCUAUUUAAAAUACUUCCAUGACUCCAGUCCACAACUCUGUACUAACACAGCUGAAGCUUUAUCUCCAAUGUGCAUAACAAAGACCUAAGUCCUCUUUUAAGGUGAGGUACUUAGCCAAUUAACAUAUCUUUAGAAGCUUAAAAUUAGCUUUAAAUAUUCUUAUCCGGAGUAGUGUAACAGCUACUCCCCAAAUAUUAAAGCUCAUUUUGAGAGCAAAGGUUUGUAGUAAACAUUUCCAUAUACUUAGAAAGAUUUAAGUUCUAACUUCUUACACUGAAGAAGCAACAAAAUUACCUAAUAUGAGGCUGUUAACCAUUCUUAAUGAUAUCACUUUAUGGGCUCUCUAAAACUAUAAGCAAGCUCACGAAAUGAAAACUCACAAUUGUUAUGACGAAAACAAAUUGUAUAAAAUCAAUCCUCUAAAUCUGUCUUGAAAUGGCAGUUGGAGUAAGGAAACUGGCUGUAAUGCUCUCACAAGUUCUAAAACCUCAUCAAUCCUUAUAAAUCCUGUAACAAUCUCUACCUGUUUGAUUUUUCCUUAAUUAAAAAUAAGUUUGAGUUAGUCAAUGUAACACUGGCAAUCCUAAAUCACAAUCUUUAAGUUCUCUUUGUAACACCAGAACACAGCCACAAGGUCACCUAAAUUCUGAGUACGUGACUAGGCAGCUGUUCUCCGGGCAGUGGAAAUUAGCAUUAAAAUACAGAUAACUUCUGGGCAAGCCACAACUUAGGAAAGCAAAACUCAACCCCCAACAAACAAUCUAGUCUCCAAGGCACCCCAAGUCUAUCUAUUAUGUUGUAAAGUUUGACUGUCAAUUCUCUCCAAUACCUCAACAAAAGGACAAUUUCCUAAAUUCUUUUAGAAGCCUGGUUUCUAGCAUAAGAAUUCCAUAAAAACAUUACCUCAAUUUAGACCUGUUUCCCUAGGUUGGCCCAUGUCACACGCUAUCUAGAAUGACUCCAUCCAGAUUACUAGCUUUAUGUCAACUUUCUGUUACCAACAUUAUACCCUUUUAACCAUAUCCAAUAACUUGAAAGCCAAUAGUCCACAACCAAGGCAAGUAGAGCAUAUUUAUACAUAUAAAACCAAUAAGAAACAAAAUUGAAAUGGCUACACCUAUCUUUAAUAUUUAGACCAAACACCAUUUUUACCCUUUUGUUAUGAUUUUAGGAGAAGCACCUUGUCACCUGUUGAGUCAAGUAAUAAGUCAGGGAUUUUUUUUUAAGAGAAACAGCUAUCAACUCUUGUAUGAAGAAGCUGUUGGCGCUUUUAAGAUCAGCUCGUGUAGACGCUUAGCUUCUGGUCAGCUUCUCCAGCUAAUCUAGACACCUGGCUCUAGGCACAGGGCUUCAAAAACCUGAUUGAAACUGUUUUUUAUUCAUUUGUUCUUUUUUGAAUCGAGUUAAAACCAAGUCAAGGUGUGCACGACCAGCAGAUAAAGUUUUUUACCAUUUUUUCUUUUGAACAUGAAACAUAAAACAUUUAUACAACGAGAAACGAAAA